UCUGACGGCCCGCGCCGUCGGACAAACAUAUACCACGAUACGGGGAGCCGGACGCUUCUUGCAUGGGUGCGGCGCGUAUGCCCGCCGCGCUUUCAUGGCUCCGCGUUACGCAUUUUAGACGGCAUACCGAGAAAGAAAUGUACGAGGUAUCAAUUUUUAUUAUGAACAGC
rnacentral:ncRNA from 12 species